AAAGCCUUUGUCAGUGGCGAAAGCAGGACAGAAAUUUAAGUGGGACCAAACAAAAUCGCAAAGCAACUAGACAAGACCGUGAAACUGAUCUCUGGUGGAUGUGGACGCACUAAACAUGGAAAUGGCUCACUAUGAGUGGCAUUUUACCAUGAAAUAGUGAAAAGGAUAAUGAGAAAGAAAGCACUCAUGUCGAAGUGUUUGAGCAGACUAGUUGUGGAGAAAGCACUUACAGAUCAAAAUGGUGCCCUGCAAAAGCUCAUGGAGGCAGAUAAGGAGAAAAACAAUGCUUUAGUGAACGCACACCCUCGGGAGCAGCAAAACGGAGCAUGAACAAGCUCCUCAUCACUGUCACAACCAACGGUUCCAGAUUCGACGUCUACUCUAAA